rnacentral:rRNA from 1 species
GGACGUAUCACAAGUGCGAAUGCUGACAUAAGUAACGAUAAAACGGGUGAAAAACCCGUUCGCCGGAAGACCAAGGGUUCCUGUCCAACGUUAAUCGGGGCAGGGUGAGUCGGCUCCUAAGGCGAGGCUGAAAAGCGUAGUCGAUGGGAAACAGGUUAAUAUUCCUGUACUUGGUAAAGCUGCGAUGUGGGGACGGAGUAGGUUAGGUUAUCGCACUGUUGGAUAUGUGCGUUUAAGUUGGUAGGUGGGAAGUUUAGGCAAAUCCGGACUUCCUUAACACAGAGAGAUGAUGACGAGGCUCUACGGAGCUGAAGUAACUGAUACCACACUUCCAGGAAAAGCCACUAAGCGAAAGGCUUUACUAAACCGUACUGAAAACCGACACAGGUGGUCAGGUAGAGAAUACUCAGGCGCUUGAGAGAACUCGGGUGAAGGAACUAGGCAAAAUAGCACCGUAACUUCGGGAGAAGGUGCGCCGGCGUAGAUUGUAAGGGCUAGCCCCUGAAGGUUGAACCGGUCGAAGAUACCAGCUGGCUGCAACUGUUUAUUAAAAACACAGCACUCUGCAAACACGAAAGUGGACGUAUAGGGUGUGAUGCCUGCCCGGUGCUGGAAGGUUAAUUGAUGGUGUAAUCGAAAGAGAAGCACCUGAUCGAAGCCCCAGUAAACGGCGGCCGUAACUAUAACGGUCCUAAGGUAGCGAAAUUCCUUGUCGGGUAAGUUCCGACCUGCACGAAUGGCAUAAUGAUGGCCAGGCUGUCUCCACCCGAGACUCAGUGAAAUUGAAAUCGCCGUGAAGAUGCGGUGUACCCGCGGCUAGACGGAAAGACCCCGUGAACCUUUACUAUAGCUUGACACUGAACAUUGAAUUUUGAUGUGUAGGAUAGGUGGGAGCCUUUGAAGCAGUGACGCCAGUCAUUGUGGAGGCGACCUUGAAAUACCACCCUUUAACGUUUGAUGUUCUAACGAAGAUGACGAAACGUGGUCUCGGACAGUGUCGGUGGGUAGUUUGACUGGGGCGGUCUCCUCCCAAAGCGUAACGGAGGAGCACGAAGGUUUGCUAAUCACGGUCGGACAUCGUGAGGUUAGUGCAAUGGUAUAAGCAAGCUUAACUGCGAGACAGACAAGUCGAGCAGGUACGAAAGUAGGUCAUAGUGAUCCGGUGGUUCUGAAUGGAAGGGCCAUCGCUCAACGGAUAAAAGGUACUCCGGGGAUAACAGGCUGAUACCGCCCAAGAGUUCAUAUCGACGGCGGUGUUUGGCACCUCGAUGUCGGCUCAUCACAUCCUGGGGCUGAAGUAGGUCCCAAGGGUAUGGCUGUUCGCCAUUUAAAGUGGUACGCGAGCUGGGUUUAGAACGUCGUGAGACAGUUCGGUCCCUAUCUGCCGUGGGCGUAGGAGAAUUGGUUGGGGCUGCUCCUAGUACGAGAGGACCGGAGUGGACGCACCACUGGUGUUCCGGUUGUGUCGCCAGACGCAUUGCCGGGUAGCUAAGUGCGGAAGAGAUAAGUGCUGAAAGCAUCUAAGCACGAAACUUGCCAAGAGAUGAGUUCUCCCAAUCUAAGAGAUUGUAAGGGUUGUUGUAGACUACGACGUAGAUAGGUCUGGUGUGUAAGUGUAGUGAUAUAUUGAGCUAACAGAUACUAAUUGCCCGAGAGGCUUAACUAUACAACGCUCAAG